ACACUACCUCACCCAGGCAACAGUUGUCACAGUUGCCACUCAAGAAACCAGUUACAAUGUGAGUAUUAACUUAACCAAAAUGCUUGGGUCCAGGAGUUUUGGGGACCCCAAAUUCAUUUCUUGUAUAUAUACCUUACAUUCACAGCCCGAAGGUGCGGAGCUGGAGUUACAGGCGGUUGUGAGCCAACCAUCAUGGGUGGAAAGAAUCAGGUUCAGGUCCUCUGUAAGAGCAGUACCUGUUCUUAGCCAUUGGGCAUCUUUCUAGCCCUCAGCCCACUUUCUAAUUGAAAGCCAAGCUUGUUCUAUAGAGUGAGCCCCCUUGGCUUCUAGGAAAGAAGGAACGGCUGAGUGCCUAGGAGGUGAUGGAUGGGCCCUGGCCUGGGUGACUCUAGUGUUGAUGCUGUUCCUAAGGACUGCCUUCUGCUCUGCUGCCCUCACUAAACAAGCCUGCCCCUACCCACUUGCCUCUACCCACCUGGCCCUCCCUACCUGCCUCUACUCACCUGCUUCUGCCUAUCUGCCCCUACCCACCUGCCCCUACACACCUGCCUCCACCCACCUGCCUCCACCCACCUGCCCCUACUCUUUAUGGCACAGUUACCACAUUCUUUCCCUGUUUUCCAAGUGAAUCCUUUGGGUCUUUCCAUCCAGUCAACCUAACCAGACUAUCCCUUUGUGCUGGCUAAUUUUAUGUCCACCUGACUCAAGUUAGAGCCACCCCAGAGGAGGGAACCUUAAUUGAGAAAAUGCCUCCAUAAGAUCCAGCUAUAGGCAAGCCUGUAGGGCAUUUUCUUAAUGAGGGAUUGAUGGAGGAGGAGCCCAGCCCAUUGUAGAUGGGGUCACUUCUGGGAGGGUGGUCCUAGAAGCUUAGAUCCCUUAGGGCUGGAGUAGACUGGUUAUAAACUGCCCAGUGUGAGUUCUGGGAACAGAACUUGGUUCCUCUGCAGGAUCAGCAAGUGCUCUUAAUCUCUGAGCCAUCUCCCUGGCCUCCACUCAUGUUUUGAGACAGGCCUGGAACUCACCAAGUAGGAGAGGCUGGUUGGUCAUCAAGCCCUAAGGAUCUCCAUAUCUCCAGAUCCCCAGAGCUGGGGUAAUAAGUACAUACCACCAUGUCUGGAUCCUGGGGACUGAACUCAGGUCUUCAUUCUUGCAUAGCAAGCAUUUUACCUUCAGCCUCAAAUCCAAAGCAUUCUGAAGCUGACUGGGCAUUACCAGUGGAAAAUUCCACACUUGACCCUGUGUGACAAAUCACAGUUAAAAUUUGGGUAUGAAGGUUGGGCGUGGUGGCACACACUUUUAAUGCCAUAGUGAGUCAGACAUAGGAGGAUCUCCUUGAGUUGGAGGCCAGCCUCCAAGUUCCAGGAUAGCCAGGACUACAUAGACUCUGUUUUGAAAAACAAAC
rnacentral:lncRNA from 1 species